rnacentral:lncRNA from 10 species
UGUGAUUCCAAUGGACUCAUUCAGCCCCAGGUUUGAAUUUUUUCUAGUUUUCACACACACACACACCCACAAAAAGGCAUAAUACCUGUAAGAAGGAAAGCAGUCCUCUAGAAUUGAAGUGUUUGAAAAAAAGCUAUGAGCUCAAUGUUUUGGAGGAAAUCCCUUCUAUAGCAGUGGAAAGAAGGCAGCUCACUUUGGGCUUUGAAUGGUAGGACCGUAUCUGCUAUUCAGUUUUUGAAAUACAGCUGUGCCAUGUGCACUGAACCUUCACACUGGGACUCAGCUGCCAUGCUUCACCUUGGGUAUAAUGAUGACAGAGGUUGAGAAAGGUGACUCCCUCCAUUGAUGUAUUUCGCCAUGAUUACCUCCCACCAAAUGAUACUAAUACUCCUGAAAAUACUUAACAUUUAUAAAAUGUUUAUUUUCUGAUUCAUGCCAA